CCCAGAAGCUAGCUGGGCCUGAGCUGGACAUUUAGUGCCAGAAAAUUCUCAAAGGGGUCCCUGAUUCAGAAAAAUAAGACAGAGUGCUGAGAUUCUGAUCGUCACAAGCCUUCUGGAGUUCUAAAUGGUGCUCCUGUCAGUCCCCUCUGUGGGUCUCUAUGCUGUAGAGGCAAAGCCAUGUGUCCUCGUCCCGCCCUGCGCCUGGCAGUGUGACUGAGAGGGGAAGCCAGGAUGGGGUUCCUGUUGGAUCCCACAUGUGUUUCCUCCCUGGCUUGUGGAAGAAAAUGUGUUCUCCAAA
rnacentral:lncRNA from 1 species